CCUACGGGAGGCAGCAGUGAGGAAUAUUGGUCAAUGGACGAGAGUCUGAACCAGCCAAGUAGCGUGAAGGAUGACUGCCCUAUGGGUUGUAAACUUCUUUUAUAUGGGAAUAAAACGUUCCACGUGUGGGAUUUUGUAUGUACCAUACGAAUAAGGAUCGGCUAACUCCGUGCCAGCAGCCGCGGUAAUACGGAGGAUCCGAGCGUUAUCCGGAUUUAUUGGGUUUAAAGGGAGCGUAGGUGGAUUGUUAAGUCAGUUGUGAAAGUUUGCGGCUCAACCGUAAAAUUGCAGUUGAAACUGGCAGUCUUGAGUACAGUAGAGGUGGGCGGAAUUCGUGGUGUAGCGGUGAAAUGCUUAGAUAUCACGAAGAACUCCGAUUGCGAAGGCAGUUCACUGGACUGCAACUGACACUGAGGCUCGAAAGUGUGGGUAUCAAACAGGAUUAGAUACCCGAGUAGUC
rnacentral:rRNA from 1 species